CUGAAUCAGAUGGUGGGGAGGAUCAAAUCGAAGCCCGGAGGGAAACCGGAAAUGGGUGAGGUCAGUAUGAGCUGGAUGACGUCAUUUUCUCUAUUGUGUAGUGUUUGUGUUGUGUUGUGUGAUUAUGUCAAUGCGGUAAUGUGAUGAUUUGGUACACAGGCACAUGUGGUGGAGAAGUAUAAGAGGCCGCUACCGAAGCUGAGGGACACGAAGCCGGAUUCUGGUAGGUUUGAGGAAAGAGCAGCUCCACCGGGGACUCUGAAUGUGUCGCAGCUGCGGCACAUUAUACUACUGCAUCAGGGCAAGGCUGAGGAUCACAAUGGCCCCAUGGAGGUGCAGAGAAUUGCGGAGAAGUUUCGGGUUGAUGUAGCUGAGGUUAGGAGGAUUGUGCAGUUUGUGUCACUGCCUCCUGAGGAUAAUAGUAAACAGAAGAAGAAUUCUUGAAGAGGGAGAGCUAUGGUUUGAUGUUGUGAACUACUGACUUUGUGUUUGAAUAAUGGAUUUGAGGAUAUAGGGACUGAUAGAGAAGUGUUAGAGAAUUCUAUAUUUUCCAUAGCAUCUGAAAAAUGUAGGGUUUUUGUAAGCUAGUGCGUAGUUUCCAAGUCAGGCAAAAAGUUGUAUCACUGCUGAGGGUUUUGAUUUGAACACAAGAUGAUAGUUCUGUUUCCUUAUGUGAAAUUACAAAAUCU
rnacentral:lncRNA from 1 species